AUUGAACGCUGGCGGCAGGCCUAACACAUGCAAGUCGAACGGUAACAGGAAACAGCUUGCUGUUUCGCUGACGAGUGGCGGACGGGUGAGUAAUGUCUGGGAAACUGCCUGAUGGAGGGGGAUAACUACUGGAAACGGUAGCUAAUACCGCAUAACGUCGCCAGACCAAAGAGGGGGACCCUCGGGCCUCUUGCCAUCGGAUGUGCCCAGAUGGGAUUAGCUUGUUGGUGGGGUAACGGCUCACCAAGGCGACGAUCCCUAGCUGGUCUGAGAGGAUGACCGGCCACACGGGAACUGAGACACGGUCCAGACUCCUACGGGAGGCAGCAGUGGGGAAUAUUGCACAAUGGGCGCAAGCCUGAUGCAGCCAUGCCGCGUGUAUGAAGAAGGCCUUCGGGUUGUAAAGUACUUUCAGCGGGGAGGAAGGGAGUAAAGUUAAUACCUUUGCUCAUUGACGUUACCCGCAGAAGAAGCACCGGCUAACUCCGUG
rnacentral:rRNA from 1 species